CAGUUAUCGUUUAUUUGAUAGUACCUUNAUUACUUGGNAUACCUGUGGUAAUUCUAGAGCUAAUACAUGCUAAAAANCCUCGACUUCNNGGAAGGGGUGUAUUUAUUAGAUAAAAAACCAAUGCCCUCCGGGGCUCCGNUGGUGAUUCAUAAUAACUUAACGAAUCGCAUGGCCUUGCGCCGGCGAUGGUUCAUUCAAAUUUCUGCCCUAUCAACUUUCGAUGGUAGGAUAGUGGCCUACCAUGGUUUCUACGGGUAACGGGGAAUUAGGGUUCUAUUCCGGAGAGGGAGCCUGAGAAACGGCUACCACAUCCAAGGAAGGCAGCAGGCGCGCAAAUUACCCAAUCCCGACACNGGGGAGGUAGUGACAAUAAAUACUGAUGGAGAGUNUCUUUUGGAUUUUCUAGUCGGAAUGAGUACAAUUUAAAUCCCUUAACGAGGAACAAUUGGAGGGCAAGUCUGGUGCCAGCAGCCGCGGUAAUUCCAGCUCCAAUAGCGUAUAUUAAAGUUGUUGCAGUUAAAAAGCUCGUAGUUGAAACUUGGGCCUGGCUGGCCGGUCCGCCUCACCGCGUGCACUGGUCCGGCNCGGGCCNUUUCCUUCUGGGGAGCCNGCAUGCCCUUUAUUGGGUGUGCCGGGGAACCAGGACUUUUACUUUGAAAAAAUUAGAGUGUUCAAAGCAGGCCUAUGCUCGGAUACAUUAGCAUGGAAUAAUAGAAUAGGACGUNGUGGUUCUAUUUUGUUGGUUUCUAGGACCGCCGUAAUGAUUAAUAGGGAUAGUCGGGGGCAUCAGUAUUCAAUUGUCNAGAGGUGAAAUUCUUGGAUUUAUUGAAGACUAACUACUGCGAAAGCAUUUGCCAAGGAUGUUUUCAUUAAUCAGUGAACGAAAGUUAGGGGAUCGAAGACGAUCAGAUACCGUCGUAGUCUUAACCAUAAACUAUGCCGACUAGGGAUCGGACGGNGUUAUUAUUUNNGACCCGNNCGGCACCUUACGAGAAAUCAAAGUCUUUGGGUUCU
rnacentral:rRNA from 1 species